GCGGCAAUAGCUCAGUGGUAGAGCCCCCGCUUCGCGUGCGGGGAGACCCGGGUUCCGGGUUCGAUUCCCGGCUGCUUCC
rnacentral:tRNA from 1 species